UUGGUGUGGAAUGUACAAGAGUUUUAUGCCAACAGCUGCUGGGCCUUGGCCUGGAAUCCUGCAGAUCAGGCUGAGUAGGGGAGUUGGUUGCUUCAUCCAAAGUUCCCCUGGGUCCUAUCUGCCAUAUCUCCAUGUGGUCAGGGUCUACCACAGGGGCCUCACUGCCUGCUCCGUCUCCUCUGAGCGUAGCUGUGAUCUCCUGUGACAUUCCUGUCCUAAUCAAGGGCUGAGAACCCGUGGCCUGUGCAGGGUCCCGCAUCUCCUAGGGUGCUGAAGCCAACCACAAAGUUGAACUUUGCUCUAAUUUCAAAAUGUAAACAAGCCUGUGCCACUGGGAAGUGCCCAGAAGCAGACCUGCCACCAUCCCCAGGGGAGCCCCAGGGUGAUCCUGAAGGUACUUGGAACAGAGUAAGACUUUGACCUCUGCCUUUCAGGUGCUUUCAAACUAAAGGGGAAAGUAAAUAAGGGUCAUCUGUGCUUGAAUAUUGAGAAGCCACCACCAUCAGCGGAUCCACAGAGCCUCCAUCAGCUUUGGCUUCUUGGGAACUGGUAUGCUGGGGGAAGGGUCUGCCCAGCAUGCAACAUAAUCCUUUCUCCAUUUUUUCCACAUUUGGGGCACUUAAGACCAGCUGUGAAAUGUCCUGAGAAUGGGGAUGUGUUUGGAGAGGCUGCUGUGGGAUACCAAAUGGAGCUAAAACUGGUCUGGAACUGCACUGUCCAAUAUGGUAGCCACUAACACUUUUGGUUAUGAAGCACUUGUUCUGUGGUCGCUCCAAGCUGAGAAAUGCUGUGAGGGUAAAAUACACACCACAUUUCAAAGACCUAUCACUUAAAAAAAGAAUAUACAUCAUCUCAUUAAUAUUUUAAAUAUUGAUUAUAUGCUGAUAAAAUGUUUUGGAUAUUUGGGCUAAAUAAAAUGUUAUGAAGCGUCA